rnacentral:rRNA from 1 species
AUUGAACGCUGGCGGCAGGCCUAACACAUGCAAGUCGAACGAGUGGCGGACGGGUGAGUAAUGUCUGGGACACUGCCUGAUGGAGGGGGAUAACUACUGGAAACGGUAGCUAAUACCGCAUACCAUCGGAUGUGCCCAGAUGGGAUUAGCUAGUAGGUGGGGUAAAGGCUCACCUAGGCGACGAUCCCUAGCUGGUCUGAGAGGAUGACCAGCCAAACUGGAAUGUGGCAACGGUCCAGACCCCUACGGUGGGCAGCAGUGGGGAAUAUUGCACAAUGGGCGCAAGCCUGAUGCAGCAAUGCCGCGUGUAUGAAGAAGGCCUUGGGGUUGUAAAGUACUUUCAGCGGGUAGGCGUUAACCGCAGAAGAAGCACCGGCUAACUCCGUGCCAGCAGCCGCGGUAAUAC